UGUGUGAGCGAGCCUGCUCGCGAUGAGGGCGUGUCAGUCAACGUGUUGGUGACUGAUAGACCGCUAUCGCGAGCAGGCUCGCUCCCACA
rnacentral:misc_RNA from 1 species